rnacentral:rRNA from 1 species
CGGCGGACGGGUGAGUACACGUGGGUAACCUGCCUGUAAGACUGGGAUAACUCCGGGAAACCGGGGCUAAUACCGGAUGCUUGAUUGAACCGCAUGGUUCAAUCAUAAAAGGUGGCUUUCAGCUACCACUUGCAGAUGGACCCGCGGCGCAUUAGCUAGUUGGUGAGGUAACGGCUCACCAAGGCGACGAUGCGUAGCCGACCUGAGAGGGUGAUCGGCCACACUGGGACUGAGACACGGCCCAGACUCCUACGGGAGGCAGC